AUUGGGCCUACGGGAGGCAGCAGUGAGGAAUAUUGCGCAAUGGAGGCAACUCUGACGCAGCCAUGCCGCGUGCAGGAAGAAGGCGCUACGCGUUGUAAACUGCUUUUAAUCGGGAAGAAACCCCGGGACGUGUCCCGGGUUGACGGUACCGAUGGAAUAAGCACCGGCUAACUUCGUGCCAGCAGCCGCGGUAAUACGAAGGGUGCAAGCGUUAUCCGGAUUCAUUGGGUUUAAAGGGUGCGUAGGCGGGGCAGAAAGUCAGCGGUGAAAUCCUGCAGCUUAACUGUAGAAUUGCCGUUGAUACUGCUGCUCUUGAGUACGCUUGACGUGGGCGGAAUGUGCCGUGUAGCGGUGAAAUGCUUAGAUAUGGCACAGAACACCGAUAGUGAAGACAGCUCACGAAGGCGAAACUGACGCUGAGGCACGAAAGCGUGGGGAUCGAACAGGAUUAGAUACCCUGGUAGAAU
rnacentral:rRNA from 1 species